UACGUAGGGGGCUAGCGUUGUCCGGAAUCAUUGGGCGUAAAGCGCGUGUAGGCGGUCCGGUAAGUCCGCUGUGAAAGUCGGGGGCUCAACCCUCGAAAGCCGGUGGAAACGUGUCGGGCUAGAGUACGGAAGAGGCGAGUGGAAUUCCUGGUGUAGCGGUGAAAUGCGCAGAUAUCAGGAGGAACACCUAUGGCGAAGGCAGCUCGCUGGGACGGUACUGACGCUGAGACGCGAAAGCGUGGGGAGCGAACAGG
rnacentral:rRNA from 1 species